rnacentral:ncRNA from 2 species
AUCUUAUACUAGGGGUGUCCAAUACGUUGGGCUGAGAGAGAAACACGGAGUUUCUUAACCCUCAGGACCUGAUCUGGUUCAUACCAGCGUGGGGAAGUUAGAAUCUACUAUU